rnacentral:lncRNA from 1 species
CGCGAGUAGCUCGGCAGGGGGACUCGCUUGGCUUUCGUGCCAUCCGUGGACACAGUCGCGCGGGAGGAGAAGAUGACAGUGUUCUCCCUAAGGAUGAAGUUUGACUUUUGAAACAUAUCACAUGCUUAAAGCACAUUUGAGCUCCUGCAUGAACAGUAAGCUAGCAGAUGGUAGAAAUAUUCUUUAUUAAUUCAAAAAAUAUUUACUGCGGACCUACAAUGUGCCAAGCAUGUCUCCUGACACUGGGGAUAAGCAGUGAACAACAACAAAAAGACAAACUUCUUCCACCCUGAGGCGUAUGUUCUCGGUCUUUGUGGGAAGAAACAAAUCACAAAAGCAAUUAAGAGAGCUCAAACAAUGGGGUUUAUGCCAGUUACAUACAAGGAUCCUGCAUAUUUCAGGGACCCUAAAGUUUAUAACAUCAGAUAUCCGGAAUAAAUUCCAUCACAUUACCACCAGUAAACUUAUUUUAUAGUUACUCUCAUCUGGAUUAUUGUAGUCACCUUGUCACUGGUAUCUCUGCUUUCUCCUAACCCCCAUCUAAUCUCCAAAAAAUCAGAGCAUGUCACUCCUGGCCCCCAAAUCCCCCCAGUGACUCCGCCCUCCCCACCCUGCUCAGAAUUAAAGUCAAUGAUCUUUUUUUUUUUUUUUUUUGAGAUGGAUUCUUGUGCUGUCACCCAGGCUGGAGUGCAGUAAGUAGUGUGAUCUCAGCUCACUGCAGCCUCCGCCUCCCAGAUUCAAGCGAUUCUCCUGCCUUAGCCUCCUGAGUAGUUGGGAUUACAGGUGCGCACAAUGCCUGGCUAAUUUUUAUAUUGUUAAUAGAGUUGGGGUUUCACCAUGUUGGCCAAGCUGGUCUUGAACUCCUGACCUCAGGUGAUCCACCCACCUUGGCCUCGCAAAGUACUGGGAUUACAGGCAUGAGCCACCAUGCCCAGCCUAAAGUCAAUUAUCUCACCACAGACCACAAGGCUACUUUGAUCCAACCAGCCCAUCUUAUAUACUACCACUUUCCUGUUUUCUCACAGUGCUCCAAUCACACUGGCCUUCUUUCUGGACUUCAAACAUGCCAAAUAUACUCUCCUUGAGGGACAUAGCACUUACUGCUACCUUUGUUUGGAAUGUUCUUUCCCAGAUACCCAUGUGGCACACCCAAAUGCUUGAGUGGCCCCUUAUUAGUGAGGCCUUCCUAUAGCAUUAUAUAUAAGAUGGAUAUAAGGUAGGACUCAGAACAUACUCCCUAUCCUCCUUACUCUACUUCACCUGACUCCAAACACUGUCACCACCUGACGUAGUACAUAUUUUAUUUUUUAUUUGUUUAGCAUCUGUCUGCCUCUAACUAGAAUGCAAGCUCCAUGAGGACAGAGAUUUUUGUUUUGUUUACCGCCAUAUUGUCAGCAGCUAGAGCAAUGUCUGGCAUGUAGUAGCACUCAAUGAAUAUUAAUUGAAUAAAUGAGCUACCUAAAAAAUAACUGCAUUGAUAUCAUAACCCAAGUAGUGUCUGAAAUAAUGUAAUGAAUUACCAGAAUGCAAAUGAAUUAUUUUCCAGAUGUCUUUAAGUUGGGUGUUGGAAAGUCAAUAUGCAUUUUUCCUACAAAUAUAAAGUAAGUGCUGUUAUUAUCCCCAUCUUAUGGAUAAGACAUCUGAUAUUUAGCUUAUGCAACUAUGCCUGUUUUCUGAUUUUGAGGCAUGUACCUCACCACUUAUACUAAAUUUCCAGGUCAGAUCAUAAAACCUUACGUAAGCCAUAAAAUUCAGAUAUAAAGUAGUCUAAAAAAAGGAAGGACCAGAAUGGAAGAUACCUAUCUUACACACAAACAGCUGUAUCUAGAGUAUAGGCUUCUUAGCUUUCUAGAUGUUUCACCCAGUUAUAGCUGUUCUUUGAUAGUGAUACAGUGAUAGAGGCAGGAGGCAGAGAAAUUCUAGGCAGAUGGGAAGAUCCCUGGCAAAGCACCACCCUAAAGCUGAAAAGCUUGAAACCACUGCCUAAAGUGAGAACUUAUAUUCCCGUUUUCCUGCUUGAAUGUUGUCUUUUCCUAAACUACCCAUAGCCUGCCCCACCCUAUCUUGUGCCUAUAAAGACCCCAGACUCAGCCAGCAGAGGGGAGAAACAGCUGGACAUCAGAGAGAAGCAGCCGGACUUCAGAGGGACAGCUUGAUGACAUAACUUUGGAGAAGAAUGCAGCCAGAGAUGGGUGGACUCCAGGGAAAGAUUACCUGCCGCCCCACCCUCUUUUCAGCUCCCCUUCCUGCUGAGAGCCACUUUCAUCGGCAAUAAAAUACACUGCAUUUGCUAUCCUUCGAUUUGUUUGUAUGACCUUAUUUCUCCUGGACGCCGGUCAAGAGCUCAGGAACCAUCAGUGCGAUACAAAAG